rnacentral:rRNA from 1 species
GACGAACGCUGGCGGCGUGCUUAACACAUGCAAGUCGAACGGAAAGGCCCUGCUUUUGUGGGGUGCUCGAGUGGCGAACGGGUGAGUAACACGUGAGUAACCUGCCCUUGACUUUGGGAUAACUUCAGGAAACUGGGGCUAAUACCGGAUAGGAGCUCCUGCUGCAUGGUGGGGGUUGGAACGUUUCGGCGGUUGGGGAUGGACUCGCGGCUUAUCAGCUUGUUGGUGGGGUAGUGGCUUACCAAGGCUUUGACGGGUAGCCGGCCUGAGAGGGUGACCGGCGACAUGGGGACUGAGAGACGGACCAGACUGCUACGGGAGGCAGCAGUGGGGAAUAUUGCACAAUGGGCGGAAGCCUGAGGAAGAAACGCCGCGUGCGGGAUGACGGCCUUCGGGUUGUAAACCGCUGUCGCCUGUGACGAAGCGGGAGUGACGGUAAUGGGUAAAGAAGCACCGGCUAACUACGUG